rnacentral:rRNA from 1 species
UGGGGAAUAUUGCACAAUGGGCGCAAGCCUGAUGCAGCCAUGCCGCGUGUAUGAAGAAGGCCUUCGGGUUGUAAAGUACUUUCAGCGGGGAGGAAGGGAGUAAAGUUAAUACCUUUGCUCAUUGACGUUACCGACAGAAGAAGCACCGGCUAACUCCGUGCGAGCAGCCGCGGUAAUACGGAGGGUGCAAGCGUUAAUCGGAAUUACUGGGCGUAAAGCGCACGCAGGCGGUUGAUUGAGUCAGAUGUGAAAUCCCCGGGCUUAACCCGGGAAUUGCAUCUGAUACUGGUCAGCUAGAGUCUUGUAGAGGGGGGUAGAAUUCCAUGUGUAGCGGUGAAAUGCGUAGAGAUGUGGAGGAAUACCGGUGGCGAAGGCGGCCCCCUGGACAAAGACUGACGCUCAGGUGCGAAAGCGUGGGGAGCAAACAGG